CGCGUAGGCGGCUUGGCAAGUCAGAUGUGAAAGCUCCGGGCUUAACUCGGGAAUUGCAUCUGAAACUGCUUUGCUUGAGUCCUGGAUGGGAUAGUGGAAUUCCCAGUGUAGCGGUGAAAUGCGUAGAUAUUGGGAGGAACACCUGCGGCGAAGGCGGCUAUCUGGACAGUGACUGACGCUGAGGCGCGAAAGCUAGGGGAGCGAACGGGAUUAGAUACCCCGGUAGUCCUAGCCGUAAACGAUGGGCACUUGGUGUUGGGGGUAUUGAGUCCCUCGGUGCCGGAGUUAACACGUUAAGUGCCCCGCCUGGGGAGUACGGUCGCAAGACUGAA
rnacentral:rRNA from 1 species